rnacentral:lncRNA from 1 species
CUUUCCACAACCAUACCCAUUUCAAAUAGACAAAUGACUAUAUAGUUCUUUUGUUCUUUUUAAUUCAGAAAGAGAGAGAAAGGGAAGAAAAUAAAAAAACAUUUGUUUAAAUAACUAUUGCAGAAAAGGAGAUCUGGGCUGGAUGCUGGGACCUACCUCUUCCAGAAAGGGGAUUUAUUAACGUUUUAAACAAAACAAAACAAAAAGAAAAAGGAACAGAAAAGAAAUAAAUUAUUCUGCUCAAUACUGUUUGGCAUAAUCGCAUUUUUUUUUCAUCUUCUAAACACUCCAAACUGCCUCUUCAGGAAGCACUGAGCUGAGACUGGCAAGAAUGGCUGGUGCCUUGACUCUCUAAAAUGAUGGGGUAGGCCCUGAGAGAGGCAUUCCACUAAAGGCCCCCCAAAUCCACCCUCAUGCUCUACUCCUCCUACUUUUGGAAUUGGAAAAGAACAGACUCUAACUACGUUCUCAAUAUAUUAACUUUUAGGGGUGCCCACUGCCCUGCCCCAAUCCUCUUCUAAAAUACUCCCUGCUGGUCCCUGUUCCCCCAGCCAGCUGCAGGAACUACACCAAUGGCCAGGAGGCUGCUUGGUGGUAUCAACUCACUAAGAUAAAGGGUGGUAUUUGUGUUCCUCACUGUUGGGAAGGGGGAUCCUAUUAGUAGUUUGGAAACUUCACAGAAGCCCUUUCCCCCCUCCGAAUUUCCCCAACCUUGUAAGGUGAUAAUACCAUCAACAGCUUCCUGUCAGAGCUUUAGCUGGGUUCAGUCAUGCAGGUAAAUUCCAGUUGUAACCCGUUUGCUGGUUUCCCUGCCCUUCUAGAUUUGGAAAUGGAAAGUGGGUUAGAGCAAGGAGGCAGGAAGUGAGCAUGGGGGAGAGGGGACACAAGGGCAGGAGAGGAGGCAUGCAAGCGGGCAAGUCUACUCCUCCCCAGCUAGAAUCCCAGCUAUUUGCAUGGCCAACGUAGAGUUUUAAAAAAAUCUUUGUUGGUCAGCCAUCCCUGGUAACCUCAAGUUAAUUAAAUUACGAGACCAAAGCAAAUUCCACCCCCAAGCAAAGGUUUCCUACUCCUCUUUGGGGUGAUGGAUGAAGGAAGAAGGUGCAUGCACCAGGCAAGCUGGGUUCCCCAUCUCCAGCCUUCUUUCCCACGUGUUGCUCCCUCUCCCUAGAGCAGGCCAAACGCGCGCGAGUGUGUGCGCGCGCUCGAUUAUUCGCGCGAGAGGGCGGUAGGGGGGCGGGGGGAAGGGAGUGAAGAUGCAACAGUGCCCCCAACCCCCAGGGCAAGUUUUGAUUUUUUUUCAGGACAGGUAGGCUGGUGAGGAGGCCCAGGGCCUAAGAAGAGCCACUGAAAAGGUUUUGGGUGAACAGUAGGGGCCGAGAGUACACGAGAGUGAGAAGCACCUUACAUCUGAAGUGACUGGGCUUCCUUGUCCCCUGCCGUGUUCCUUACACCUGUGUUCCAGAGUUAGGCCCUAGGAGAAUUCCGCCCGUUAGCAACGGGUGAAUACAGUUCUAGUUUUCUGGUGAGAUGCUAAAUGCCCUGGUCAGAAAGGCCAGUCCAUAGGGUGGCCAAAGGUGGGGAUGGGGAGAAAGAGGAGGGGACCCACAAGCCACUGCAUUUCUUUGGUGGGUUUACACUCACCCAUCUGGGCCUGACAGAAAAAGGAAAUGUGGGGUCCAAAAUUCUCUUGAGCCUGAAGAGGUUUGAGAGGGCUCCAGCUUUUACCCUGGGAUGAAGGCGCGCUCCCCGGAAACCAUCUGAUCUCCCCUAGACCACCAUAUAGGAACGGCUAACGCCCCACCGCCCACCCGGAGGUCAAGAGGGACAUCCCCGCCCCCCACCAGCCCCGGCAAGGGAAGCCGAGCCGCCGCUGCCCCGCACCUUCCCCACCGUCUCCUUCUCGGCGCCCCUGACCGAGUGAGGUCGACGAGCGGCGAGCAAUGCUCCUACAGACACUGAGGAAAGUACCUCACUGAGGCCGGAACCAACCUCUGUUCCUUAAAAAGCGUGAGAUAAAAUUCUACCCAAAGCAUAGGGGAGAGGGGAUUCAGCGGCCGCCGGCCCGCCUCCGAAGGCCAUUGAUUGGAAGAGACGGGCCCAGUGCCGGCAGUUCUCCUUGAGUCGCAUGAUUGGCUGGGAGAAAAAAAAAAAAAAAUCCUCCGCUUCGACUGCAGCGCUGAUUGGUGCCUGGCCGGCUAGUCCCCAGUCUCAUGAUUGGCGAGGGACAGCCAGCGUUCGCUGGACUUGCAGCAUGAUUAGUCCAGACCGCGCCCUGACGUCGCUCCUAGGACCUGGAAACGCCCAAUGGGGCGCCGUGCCCACGCCGAGGCCACCGCCCUCCGGCUGGCCUGGAGUCCCGGCUAGGAGCCAGCGCCCUAGGUUCGCGCCUGGCCCGGAAGGGUCGCGGGUUCAAUUUCCUCGGUAGACCUCGAUCUUGCUGGCCUUGGCCAGCAUGUCGAUGAUAUGGGCCUCGAAGUCGGCGUCGUGCACCCCCGUCUUCCGGAACUCGCCCGCGUACCGGUUAUUCUCCCAGUAGUGGUGCCAGUUGCCCCGGCUGUCGGCCCCGAACCCGUACACGUUCACCUGCAGGGGAGGGCGGCGCAGGUCACCCCGCGUCGGAGAGCGGGAGGACAGGGCACGGGCACAGCCUCGGGUCGCGGUGGGCUAGGAGAAAGGGGCUGCAGCGACCCGACUACAGCUAAGAGACGCGCAGUUCGUCAAUUCGCAGAGCGCGGGAGGCAACGGGAAUACGCGACACCCAGGCCUGGAGCUAAGGAUACCGACUGGCAAGACUGCUGCUCCCUUUCGGUUCUUCCACCCGUCUGAUUGCAGCGAUACGCCUCGGUCUGGGGCUAUGGGACCUCUCCCACCGUUGCUAACGUUCCUUUUUUUUUGUUUUGUUUUGUUGUUGUUUUUGUUUUUUAAUGUAAUACUUUUAUAUGAAAGCUAGUCAAGCACCCAAUACCACACACUGAAUUUACUGGCAAAAGUGGGUGUGCUGGGCGUGAGCGAGUAUGGCACAGCAGCCCUGCUUGCUAGUGAAAUGCGCUCCUGGAACGAAUGACCUGCAGUGUUAACACACAGAGGGUAGGCCUAGGGCCCACAGCGGUGGGAGAAGACCAUCCCGCUGGAACUUAACUUCAUUAUUUCCGUUCUAUUUAUAUUUUUGAUGAUUUUUUUCUUUAUGACAAGUAACACCAAUUAUGGUAGUAAUGUUCUGUUUCCUUUUUAAAUAAAUUUAACUUUUCACUGAAGUGAUUUCAGGUUUGGUAAAAUCAUGAGUAGUAAGUUUGGGAAAUGAAGAUGUAUACUUUAUAGCCUAGAAAUGCAGGAAAUCAAAGCCACUUGGUUUCUGCCUACAAAAACACGUUCCUCUUGCUCUGCUAAGCCCUAAGAAGGGCUAAUCCCCUCUGUUCCAUGGGUAUCCCUAUUUUACCCAUAACACCGGGUUACCCACCUCAUCACACACAUGCAGGGCAAAGAAGAGCACCAGCAUCCCUGUAGAAGGGUACCGCCCGUGAUGCUCUGUCCACCGGUCGUGGAUAUACUUGAAGAAGGCUGGGUUGUAGAUCUGAACCUGGGAAGAGAAAAGGCAACAGACACAUGAGGGGUGUUGGGGGCCUGGAGACUCAGGCCAGGCUCUAAGUAGCUUCUGCCAGUUCCUCCAUGCUUGCCAGCAGACCUGUUCUUCCAAGUUCCCUAGUUUCUGUGGCCUCUGAGGGGGUCAGGCAUACCAGCAGAUGGGUGGACUCUGAAGGUUCUGGAAGGGCACUGGGGGACACCUGAGCCACAGGACUGGGCACACCAGUAGUCAAAUCUGCACCGUUUCUAAUGAGAUGGGGAUGAACAAGGGAGAGGUGGGAGCUUACCUUUUCUUUGUCCACUCGAAGGAAAGACUUCACUGGUGCAUAGGUGCUGCAAGCAGAAAGAAGAAGAUUUAGAUGGCUCUUGGGAUCUAGAAAGGUCCACAGAUGCCUUUCCUCCUUGUCAGGCCUGAGUGAUGACAGCCUUACAACAGAUCCCCUGCUUCCAGACUGCUUUCCCAGAGCACAUCACUGCAGUACCUUGCUCAGAAAACUUCAGCAGCUACCUAUGUUCUUUAGGAUAAAAUAAGGAUGUUUUAGACAAACAUUGGUGCCUUCUAUUAUCUAGCCCAAAUGUUUCUUUCCACAACACUCAGCUGUGAACUCCCCACUUAAUUUAGCCAGUCAUCUCACACCCACUAUAUUUGUCUUAGUUCUGCCUACAAUGACCCUCUUGCUACUAUCCUCAUAUUUGGUACAAAUCCCUCCUCUAUUAGCCAGCCAUGGCACCCGUAGUCUAUACUCCCUUUCUAAGCAAGGGACUUAAACUCAAACUUAAACUUUAUCAUAAGAUAAAGUCAGGAAACUGUAAUUUAGAUUUCUGUGUUUAAAAAAUACAUAGUGACAAAAUGCAGGCAAAUAGCAGGCAAUAUGUGGAAACGGCUUAACUGUCCACUGAUGGAUGAAUUGAUAAACCAAAUAUGGUAUAUCCAUAUAGUGGAAUACUACUCAGCCUUUAAAAGGAAUGAAAUCCUGUACAUGCUACAACACAGAUAAACCCUGAAAACACUACACUAAGUGAAAUAAGCCAGGACAAACACUAUGACUCCACUUACAUGAAGUACCUAUAAUAGUCAAAUCAUACAGACAAAAAGACUAGUGGUUAUCAGAGGCUAAGGGUCGGGGAAAUGGGGAAUUAUUAAUGAAUGCAAUUUCCACUUGAAAUUAUGAAAAAGUUCUGGAGUUGGAUAGGGUGGCGUUUUGCACAACAAAGCAAAUGUACUUAUUUAAAAAUUUUUUUACAUUUAUUUAUUUUUGAGAGACAGAGAGAGACAGCACAAGCAGGGGAGGGGCAGAAAGAAUGAGAUACAGAUUCCAAAGGAGGCUCCAGGUUCUGAGCUGUCAGCACAAAGCCCGACGCAGGGCUCAAAUCCAUGAACUGUGAGAUUAUGACCUGAGCCGAAGUUGGAUGCUCAACUGACUGAGUCACACAGGUGCCCUGAGUGUACUUAUAAUUUUGGUGGAGAAUGUGGGCAGUGAUCUGAGAAAAUGAGUUUGUAUUUAUUUAUUUGUUUUUAAGUAAUCUCUACACCCCAUGUGGGGCUUGAACUCACAACACUGAGAUCAAGAAUCACAUGCUCUAGCAACUGAGCCAGCCAGGCACCCCAUAUGUUGUAUACAUUUUAACACACAUACAUACACACACACACACAGUGAGACAGUAGAUUAGUGGUUGUUGCCUAGGGCUGGGGUGUGGGAGUAGAGGGAGUGAGGGUGAUGGCUAAGGGGUACAGAGGUAUCUUUAGAUCUUUAAAGAUCUUCAAGAAGAUGAAAGGAGUUCUAAAAUUAAUUGUGGUGAUAGUUACACAACACCAUAUUUAAUAAAAGCCACUGACUUGUAUACUUUAAAUGUGUAAACUGUAUGGCAUGUGACUUGUACCUCAAUAGAGAUGCUAAAAAAUACUUAGUGAUGGGGUGCCUGAGUGGCUCAGUCAGUUAAGCAUCCAACUUCAGCUCAGGUCAUGAUCUCACGGUUCAUGAGUUCAAGCCCCAUGUUGGGCUCUGUGCUGACAGCUUGGAGCCUGGAGCCUGCUUCGGAUUCUGUGUCUCCCUCUCUUUCUGCCCUUCUCCCACUCCCACUGUGUCUCUCAAAAAUAAAUAAACAUUAAAAAUAAAAAAAAACACUUGGUGAUGAAACUAAUGUAAUGUUGUAUGUCAACCACACUUCAAUAAAAUAAAAUAAAAAAUGACAUAUUAAAUUUCCUCAGGUUCCCAGCUGUGAUUGAGCAACUGUCUCUAAAGAAAAUUCUCAGAAUGCAGAACUCCCACAGUCAGGAGUCACCUCCUGGAAAGGAGACCAAAACCUUGCUACCCUUUCUACCUACAGGAAGCUGGCUGUCACUAUGUAGGAGUGACACUGAACAACCUGUGGCCCCAGCUAACGCACCACUUUGGGCUCUCCCUACUAUUGCCUCCCUCUUCACCAGCCCCUCUCGGUCAAAAUAUUCAGUUAAAAGAAUUCUAAGAGCCAAUCCUUGGGAAGACUCCUCUCAAAAUGCUCUGUCACCCACAUUCCACUCCCAGUCAACAGAGCGACUUACAAUCGGAUCUGCCCCGUGGACAAAGCGCUGGCAAUCCAGAGGAGGUCCAGGGCUUUGAAGGGCACCAACACAAAGCUGACAUUGGCGGGCAGGUUCUUGGCACUCUCGGGGUACAUGAAAUGAUGAGUGGUUCGGCUGCCAACAUCCUGUUCAAAGCCCACGGUUGGCGCCUGAUUCAUCCUGUAAGGACAAGAGGGUGACAUGAGAAUAAACCACCAUAGAAAGUGGUACAAAAUUUUUAUCUUUUUUUAAAGUUUCUUUCGGGGCGCCUGGGUGGCGCAGUCGGUUAAGCGUCCGACUUCAGUCAGGUCACGAUCUUGCGGUCCGGGAGUUCGAGCCCCGCGUCGGGCUCUGGGCUGAUGGCUCGGAGCCUGGAGCCUGCUUCCGAUUCUGUGUCUCCCUCUCUCUCUGCCCCUCCCCCGUUCAUGCUCUGUCUCUCUCUGUCCCAAAAAAUAAAUAAACGUUGAAAAAAAAAUUUAAAAAUAAAGUUUCUUUCUUUCUUUCUUUUUAUUUUAUUUUAUUUAUUUAUUUACUUAUUUAUUAUAUGAAAUUUAUUGUCAAAUCAGUUUCCGUACAUCUUUCUUUAUUUUUAAAUGUUUUUAUUUUCUUUUUUAGAGAGAGAGAGAGAGAAAGAGCGUGAGCACGGGAGGGGCAGACAGAGAUAGAAACAGACUCUGAAGCAGGCCAGGCUCUGAGCUGUCAGCAAAGGGCCCGAUGCGGGCCCUCAAACUCAGAACUGUGAGAUCAUGACCUAAGCUGAAGUAGGCUGCUUAACCGACUGAGCCACCCAGGUGCCCCAUUAACGUUUAUUUAUUUAUUUUGAGAGACAGAGAGCAAGAGAGAAAGAGAGCAGGGGAGGGGCAGAGAGAGAGAGAGAGAGAGGGAGAAAUCUCAAGCAAACUCUGCGAUGUCAGCACACAGCCCCAUGCGUGGCUUCCACGAACUGUGAGAUCAUGACCCAGGCCCAAACCAGAGUUAGAUGUUUAACCAACUGAGCCACCCAGGUGCCCCUGUACAAGAUUUUUACAGGACAAUCUGGUUCUAGCCAUCAAAAAUAUAAAUGGGUGUACACUUUGAUGCAGCAAUUCCAUUUCUUUUUUUUAAUUAUUUUUUUAAAUAUGUGUUUAUAUUUGAGAGAGAGAGGAGAGGGAGGGAGAAAGAGACAGUACAUGAGCAGGGGAUGGGCAGAGACAGAGACAGAGACAGACUCUGAAGCAGGCUCCAGGCUCUGAGCUGUCAGCACAGAGCCCGAUGUGGGGCUCAAACUCACAAGCCAUGAGAUCCUGACCUGAGCCAAAGUCAGAUGCUCAACCAACUGAGCCACCCAGGCGCCCCGUGGCAAUUCCAUUUCUAAGUAUCUAUCCUAUAAAAAUGGUUUCAUAAGUCUGCAAAGACAUGCGCACAAAGAUAUUCACUGCAUUAUUAUUUACAGUAGUGAAAAGGAGAAUCAAUUUAACAAUUAAGAACUGGUUGGGCCUCCUGGGUGGCUUGCUUGGUUAAGCGUCCAACUUUGGCUCAGGUCAUGAUCUCACGGCUCGUGAGUUCAAGCCCUGCGUCGGGCUCUGUGCUGACAGCUCAGAGCCUGGAGCCUGCUUCGGAUUCUGUGUCUCCCUCUCUCAGCCUCUCCCCUGCCCAUGCUCUGUCUGUCUCUCUCUCAAAAAUAAAUACACAUUAAAAAAGAGAACUGGUUAAUACAUUUUGGCACACUCAUAUAAUAGAACACCAUGUAGCCAUGAGAAUGAGUGAAAUAGAUUUACAUGUGCUGGUAAGAAAUAAGUCCAAGAGGUACUCAGUGAAAAAAACAAGUAAUGUGAGGUGUCUAUCCCAUUACCUUUUGAAUACUACUAUGUGCUGCAGGAGGGAAUUAAGACAAAAGGAAAACUUGAAACUAGAUAGUGUGAUAUCAUUUUUUUGUAAAAAAAGAAAAGGAGGCACAGGGAGCAAAAGGAAGAAGGAAGAAAGAAAAAACAUACUUUUAUAUAUGAAUAAAAAAAUCUGGAAGAGUAUUACAAUUGGUAACAAAGGUUACUCUUGGGAAAUGGGAUGGGGAAGGGUAAUUCAUCUUUUAGUAUAUAUAUUUUUUUCUUUUAAAAAUGUUUUAAUGUUUAUUUAUUUUUGAAAGACAGAGACAGAGAUAGAGAGCAAGGUAAGGGGAGAGAGAGAGGGAGACACAGAAUCUGAAGCAGGCCCCAGGCUCUGAGCUAUCAGCACAGAGCCUGACGUGGGGCUCAAACUCAUGAACUGUGAGAUCAUAACCUGAGCUGAAGUGGGACGCUUAACCGAAUGAGUCACCCAGGCACCCUCUAGUAUAUAUAUUUCUGUGUUUUUCCCCCAAUAACAACAUAUUUAUUACUCUUAACAAUUUUUUUUUAUGAAAGAAAAGAACAGCCUUCUACAGCCUCAACCUUACCUGGCUGUUCUGUCCUCUUUCCUAGAAGAUGGUGGAAGCAAGAUAAGAAGCUGAAGCAUUCCCUCAGCCCCUGAGCUGCAUGGCAGCCUCUACUCCACCAGCACCAGCCCCUCUGUCCCUGUACGUCAGCUUCUUAUCUGCCUUUCUGUUCCAAGGCCAGGAGGGAUGCUCCAAGUUCUGACAGUGCCCACCUUGGCUGUCUGCCGGUGAUGUGCAGUGUGGAUGUGUCUCUCCCAUGCUGCCAUGGAAGAAGUUGGAAACCCAGAGUGGGCUCACCGUCCUCCUAGGUAUAACAAGCCCAGGAGGCUUCUACUUCCUUUCAACUUGUGCAAAACAUAGGAUCAAUAAAAUCAAAGCUCCCUCUUUUGGUGAACAUCUUCAAAACAGGUGAUCCAGCUGUAAACACAAACCUGUUGGUCUUUUCUGCUAUGACCAUCUAUGAGAACAUUCCUGUCUUGUGUGGACCACUUUGCAGAAUCAUGACUGCCUAGAUAGAUGACCAUAACCUUGCCCUCCAAUGGGGAUAAAGGGACCUGGGAGAGAGGGAGCAAAGUCUCCAUGUGCUUUCCCAGCUUUUUACGCCUAUUCUGUAAAACCAGGAUGAAGGUUACCUGUACUUAAAGUGGCUGGCACCACUCAGCUGGGCUGAGUAAAGACCUCCUGUGUCACUGGGGCUCCCACAAUGCCUUCCUCCUGCCCACCUCCCCCUGAUGGCACGAUACAGUAGGAGCACAUCCAGGAGUCCCCACUGCUGCCAGUCAUAUUGCUGCAGCUCUCUCGUUCCCUUCCCUUGAGGAAUUGGAGGAUGUUUGGAGUUGGAAAGCCAUAAAGCCUGAGAACGGCCUGAUUUGGAACUAGAGCGUGAGUCUUUGUUCUUGGCCACUUCAGCUCUAGUCUGGCUCAAGCAGAAGCUAGAAUCUUUUCUGUAGGACCAGCUGUGCUCUAGCCUCCAUUUCUUUAGGUUAACUGCCCCUGUGCCUCCUGUCUGGGCACCCCUCCGUUUUCCUGGUCUUUAGGAUUCAGAGAUAUUACCUCUUAGAAGAGCCUAAAAGUAUACUUUCCCAUUUAUUAAUGACAGUUUUCUGGGGCUACUAGAGCUCUACACACAGCACUGGUGUCCUAUGGUCACCAGAGCCACAUCCAGAUCUGCCUUCUGUCACAUCAGCCCUGGGGUCUGUGAGGAACAGAUCAAUUGGGAUGGUGUUUCUCAGCUGCCUGGGAUAUGUAACGGGGUAUCAGGAAGUGGACGACGUGGGUUGGUGACACUCAAGUUGGCUGGGGCCUGGACUGGGCAGGAGCUGGGGUCAAGGUCACUCUGGCGUGUACCUAAGAAAUAACCUCCUCUCACUUGACAUGGAGAGGCCAAACUGGUCCCACAGAUCAAAGGGCUACAAGUGUCCCAGGUUGGCCUCUGAAGACAACCCCACUCCACCCCACCCCCAUCAUCUGUAGCCACAGUCUUGAGGAAGUCCCUUCUUAGACCUGGCAGGCGGUAUCAUUGCCUCCACCUCCCUCAGGUCCCUCUCACUUGCUGGGCAGGCACCAACUUUCUAAAAUCUGAGAACGAAUGGAGUAAGAGUUCUAAAAAAGAUGUUUCAGAGCCUCCAAGGUAGAAGGAAGGAACAUGGCAUGAUUUUGAGGGCAGGAUUUUGCUUUGAGGUUCUGAUUCAUUCUGGAGAAGCGAAGCCCUGGAAAGGGGCCAGACAGGACACAGGUUGAACUACAUCUCCAUGAUUCAGGGGAAAAGCAUUCUAGAAUUCUAUCUGUUUCUGGUUGCCUCUGCACCUGAGGGCAGAGGCAGGGGAAUGGUGGAUGUGCAUUCAUGCUUAGAGUUUGGUAUCUGGUCAUCUAGUCUCUUCCAUUCACUCAUGUAUUAAGGUGAGCCUACGACUGCCAGGUGCUUGUUCUAGGUCUGCUGGCUGGCUGAGGCAGGACCAGCUCAACUCCAUUUGAAGUUUUCAGCAGGGCUCAGAAGACAUAUAGGAGGAGGAGGCAGCCGGGGGGUGGGAUAGGGAAAUAUGGGUACAGCCAUCAUCUCACUGUAACUCAGCUUGGUGGGGUCUUAUGUUGGUCUUGCCUCCAGGGACCAGGGAGGCGUCCCCUGUGGUUCCAAACCAAGACAUGCCUAUAAGGAAAGAGUCACCUCCACUACCAUCAGACUGUACACAUCAGCAAAAAGCCAAUUCAAUCUGGGUCACCCCUUACACAAAGCAAUUCUGGGGUCCAUUCCAAAACGCACAUCUCCUAACCUGGUCUCUGUGAGUGAACAUCUGUGAAUUCCUUUCUGUAGCCUGGCCUGACCAGGUACCACUAAGGUGUCAUAGCGGCCAAGCCUUUUUGUCUGCUUCUACCCUGGAGCUUCCCAACCGCCACUGACACGCAUAAUGAAAGCAUCCACUUAGCACAGGGGGCAGGGCAGCAGAGGCAGGAGCUUCAGGCACUCAAGACCAUUUCCCUGGGCUUCCCGAGAGUCCCAGGGCUGCACUGAAGUGAUGGAUGCCUGCUUCCCCACUCUCGGCCACUGUCUCAGGGUAGAGAGAGCCCCUUCUCCAGCAACCAGCUUGCCUCCCUUACAUUCUGAGUGCCAGCAGUUGGAGGAUAGAGAGAAUCUCAGGUGGUUCUGGGUUCCUGGAUGGGGCCUAGCAGACCUCCUCUCCCCACCGCCCCCCCCCCUUCUCAACAUGAGAAAGGUUUUGCAAGGAAUGGUGAAAGCCUCAGAGACAUACUGCUGCCUGGGUGUUGCCAUGGAAACAGCAACAGUUUCUAAGACAAAGCCCUUCCUUCGCCUCCUGGGAAACCUGGUCUUUCUGCAAUGCUCAUCAUAAGAGAUGCUUAGUGAAAACUCGGCAUUUUCAGUAUAUUUACUCUCAAGUCUCUUUUUCCACCAAGGAGUGGGAUGGAAGGAUCCCCAGCAUGGCAUUUCCCAUCCCCAAGUCUAAGGAGAAAGUCAGAAAACAGGAUAAAAGUCAGGAACAGAAUGAGCAGUCCAUGUUGGAGUUUUAAGUCCACCAUGUAGUCCCUGUUCACCUCCAGGCUCAUAGCUCUGUGUCUUUGUCUGAAAUGAAUGCCUUUCCAACCCCUCUCCUUUCCUUAAGGCUGGGCAGAGAUGUCUGGUAAAUGAAUCUGCCCCACAUAAUCUAAACCUUAUCAAAUAAAGGUGAGGGACAGCAGCCCAGAGCAAGCACUGAGCAGUUCCUCUUCCUGCCCAGGACCUCCAUCUUCUGUGAGACUGCCAGGAGGAACCAUCUGUGGCUAUUAAUCAAGACAUUAGUGUGGGGCCUCACUCCUGGCUCAGCACUGAGGGGACCAGGCAGGUGGGAGUUCUCACCAGAAAACAACCAGUGGUCUACUCUCGGUUCUUUUCAGAGGAGUUCAGGACUCGAAACUGAGUGCAGGCCUCAAGCAAAGUACAGAAUGGGAAUUCUGCCUCCCCAUCUACCCAACAAAUAAGAGUGAGACACUCAAGCCUUUACAGAAGGUUCUGGUAUGGGAGGCUCACAGCAGCAGGCAACUCCUACACUGCCAGACAACUCUAUGGAGGCCAGUGCCUCCUUCUGGAGGCCUGUCCUGGGCCCACCCUUGCGCUCCCUGGGGCUCACCUCAUGAUGAAGUUGUGCCCAUCCACAUCCGGACCGUAGCCAGAGCCCCGCAGGUUGCCUGAGUUCCCCACCACGGCACAGCGCCGGCACUGGUGGGGGUCCCGGAAGCGGUAGGGGUUCUCGCCUGGCACUAUCUGGAACAGCUUCUCCAGUACCUCGUUGGUAUUGUGUGACUUGAACUGGGGCUGCAGCAUCUGUGGACAGGAGAGAAGAAGGAAGGAGAGGGGCGGGGGGGGGGGGGGGGGGGGCNGGGGCGGGUGAGCAGGGAGGGAUUCCUGCCUGUCUCGCCUCCCUGCCUUCACCCUCUAAUCUCAGUCAGGGAAAGGGAAUUCUCUCUCAACAGUGAGGACAUGCCCCCAUUCCCACACAGUAAAGUUCCUUUCUGAGGCUAGUGCCCUUCUCAUCAGGUGCACGCUCUAACGCACUGGAGGGGACUCGGGGGUCAAGGGGUACCGCAGAGCAGAGAAACUUCCUGGGCUCAUCAUGGCUGCAGAGGCCCCUGCUCUGCUGUCCUCUCAGGGAAGCUAUGAGUCACAGGAAGAGUCAUUUUGAGGUGCAGUUAAUGUGGAAAACCCUGCUGAGCUUCAAGGGCUCAUUCCCAACCCGCCUACAGAGGGCGCCUCUGGGACUGAGCCUGAGGACUCGGGGUUAGGAAAGCUCCAUCUUGACGCAAUAUCCACAGGGAUAACUGGAGUCACCCCCUGAGCCCUAGGGGAGAGGAGAAGAGCAGGCAGAGAGGUACAGGAAUUCUUUCAAAGUCAGAAUGGCUGGAAUGAAACUGGUUCCCUGUGCUUCCAACCACCAGUAACCGUGGAAGACCAUGAAAUGAAGCCGGGGCAGCCCUCAAAUGCCAACACGCCAGGCAAGUAACUGCGCAGGAGUAAAGUGGCAGAUGGGGACUAUGGCAAACAGGAGGCCCCAUCAAAAAGGAGUGAGCUGACUGCUGCUGUGUUGUAUCGUGAGCUCAAAAGCACCAAAUUUUCCAGUUUUUCAGGAGAAGCUGAAAAUAUGGAUUUCACGUGAAAUAUCCCAAUUCCUAAAUGUUAACUAAUGCAAAUAUUUUAAAGUUUUUUUUUUUUUAAUGUUUAUUAUUUUUUGAGAGAGAGAGAGAGAAACACACACACAGAGUCCAAGCAGGGGAGUGGCAGAGAGAGAGAGGAAGACACAGAAUGUGAAGCAGGCUCCAGGCUCCGAGCUGUCAGUACAGAGCCUGACACAGGGCUCGAAUUCACGAGCCGUGAGAUCAUGACCUAAGCUGGAGUUGGGCACUUAACCGAGUGAGCCACCCAGGCGUCCCACUAAUGCAAAUAUUUUAGAAUAUUUGAGUGGCUCAGUCGGUUAAGCAUCCGACUCUUGAUUUUGGCUCAGAUGAUGAUCUCACGGUUUUUGAGUUUGAGCUCUGCAUCGGGCUCUGCACUGACAGCGCGGAGCAUGCUUGUGAUUCUGUCUCCCUCUCUCUCUCUCUCAAAAAUAAAUAAAAAUAAACUAAAAGAAAAUAUUGAGCAGACUGGACUUGGGUCACAGACCACAAAUCAGUAGGGUAGAAACUAGGGCUUUAACACGCUCUGAGGUCUGAACCAUAAUAUGGGGAGUGUGGCUGAGCAGGAGCUGCUCAGGGGACAGAAUAAAUGAAGGGAAUGGAGUUGGCCUGCUUCUCUGCCUCUUCUCUUAGCACAGGAGCACAGGAAAGGCUCUUGAGAACAAGAAUACGAACUGAGUGUGGACAGGAAGCUAAGCUUGAGAUAAGAAUUUCUUUUUUUUUUUUUUUAAUUUUUUUUUUCAACGUUUAUUUAUUUUUGGGACAGAGAGAGACAGAGCAUGAACGGGGGAGGGGCAGAGAGAGAGGGAGACACAGAAUCGGAAACAGGCUCCAGGCUCUGAGCCAUCAGCCCAGAGCCUGACGUGGGGCUCAAACUCACGGACCGCGAGAUCGUGACCUGGCUGAAGUCGGACGCUUAACCGACUGCGCCACCCAGGCGCCCCGAGAUAAGAAUUUCUAAGUUCACAGCAAAAGGGAGUGACUAUGGGGAGCCCGAGAGAAACGGCUUCUGUGUCUUGGCUGAAGAACAUGCUUGGUGCUUAAACAGCCCUGAGUUCCAUCCCUAAGGGAAGGAAACCUGGCCUACCCAUGGGUCUACUUCUGCCCAGGAUCCUGCUCUGGUUCUAGGUGGCCACCACCUCAGGCAAGCUCUAUGCACUAUCUGAACCUUGAUUUUCCUCACAAAAUGAGGGCUGUGACUAUGAUUAACAGUGCUCCAGGCUGCCACAGGAAUGGCCCCUGGGGCUCCUGGUGAUCCUUGCUCUGUAGACCUCCCCAUUCUUAGGGACUUGGACAGUCUGAGCCAGGAAGCAGGAUCUGUGAGUUGUUCUGAUAAGCCUGAUCACAGGAGCUCCUCCUCACUGUCUCCCUGAAUGUGAGAAAGAGCGGGGAGUCAUCAUCUUCCCCAUUUUCCAGCUGGGGAAACCAGGAGCUGACUCCCCAGUGCCCCAGGGGGAAUGAAGGUGGCCUGAGGGCCCUUGGGCUAAGCACUGACACUGCUCCACCUGACACAGUAUGACAACCAGAUGGCCCAGGAAGAGCCUAGGGAGUGACAUUCCAGAGAUGACAAGGAUGAGGUAAAGGGAGUUAAAAGGAGCAGAAAGGUGACAGGAGCCAGAAAAGCAGGGAGUCUCGGGCACACCUGUCCUCUCAUCCCCUGCCCCUCACCUCCCUUAUCUCCCAAAGAAACUCACAAUGUUUUCUUAUCCUGGCCCAGAAGAAAGCCUCUUCCAGCAAUUGUAGAAAACUAAGUGAGUGGCCCUCACGGUGUUUAAAAUUCUUGUUAGCCAACAUUUACAAAUUAGGAUAUUUAGCAAAAAACUGUGGACUUCCAAGUUCUCUUAAGGGGUCAGAAGAUCCAGCAGUGAUGGGUCACAUCCCUGCAGAGCACAAGUUUGCUAUAGCUGAGAGGGGUUGCCUCCUUUAUAAAGGGCAGACAUUCUCCCCGCCAUGGCCCUUACCUCUCAGCAUCUUCCUCCUUGGGGCCUGUAACUCCUGUGUUAUCUCCCUGGCCUAGUAGGCAUUUCUGGUGUCUGCUCAGCCCCUAUAGGCACUACAAAGUGGUUCUCUCUCCUUCCAGGCCAAAGCUCACUCUGCCUUUCAGAAUCUGUGACCCUACCAGAUGGCUCUGGUCAAAUGGACCGAAUACUUUGUCAAGGCUCUGGGGGCCAGAAGGCAGAAUGCCCAAAUCCAAGAGGGGCUUGAAGAGUGACUCCCAAACCGGGGGACCAAGGGGGCAGCAAAGGGGAGGCAGGAGGGGUUGUAGCUCUCACCAUCCACCACCUCUGGACAUCUGGAGGCAGAUCCAUAUUCUCUCGGGUCCACACAGGGGAAAUGUUGCUGUUGAAGUGGCUAUCGAACCAGUCAGAGGCUCCAGUGUCACCCAUGCAGCGGCGGCAGGCACAGCUCUUGCCGGGGAGCCCCUCCUUGCUGAGGCGCUGCAGGCCAGCAUAGCCAGGCACCAGCUUCACCCGGUGGGUCCCACCCAGGGUCCCCGAGUCCAGGUAGGGCAAGGUGGCCAUGCUGUGGUGGGAGUAGGUGAAGAGCAGUGACAUGAUGAACACCAGCAGGAAGGCCACAGAGAGGAACCACACCCGUAGGGAGCACUUCAUGGUUUGGCGCCCCGGGGGGCCAGACCACCAGCCUGGUGGGCAGUGGGGUGUCACCGUGGCCACUCCUUUCCCAGCCCACUGAUGGGCCAGCCACAGCGUAGCCUGCCUCUUCUGGCACCACGUGCAAAGGGCAUAGGGGCACGUGCUGAGGAGGGGACAGAGGCAGGGGUCCCUCACCACACCCUCCCUCUACGCAAGGAGAAAGCACGUAGGCAGGAGUGGCUCCCCUGUCCCUGGGCCACUCGGGCCCCUGCUUAUGGCUUCAUCAGGUCUCUCUGUCACUAGCUGGGCCACAGAGGCUCUGAUUCUCCCACUGCCCUGGUGAGGGGCAGGUCAGUCCAUCCCAGCCCUCUAGUCCCUUGGGGUUGCUGGCUGCCAGCUCCGGGGGCCCCCCUCUUUGGUGGCUCGAAACGGUCCAGUCUGGAGCAUUCGGAGUCCUUGUGGUUCAUGAGCAGACACGGAGGCGGCCCCUCGUCCCCUGCAGUGGGGAAGCCUUUGAACCUCAAUCACAGCAGAGAGCACAUGAGCUUCAAGUGGUCUGGAUUCCAUCCAAGAGUUGUCCCCGCCUCAGCUGGCCCUCCUGGGCCAAACCCUUCACCAGGGGAGGGAACGAUGCCCCAGUCUUGAGAGAAGAAACCCAGGAAGCUCUGUGGGUGUCAGAAAACUCGCCUGCAGAGACCAAGAUCCUCCUUGCAUUAGGUUCUGCCCUUCCGCUUCCCAUUCAAGGCGCUGCUCCCUUCUCCCAAUGGUCACAGCCCCAACUGUGGUCGAAGAGGGGCUCACAGAGCUCCUGCUCCUGCUGAGAGGUCCUCCAGGGCCUGGGGACAGCUGCUGCUCAGUGGGGAUCUACUGUGAAUGCCGUCUGGGUCAGCUGAGCGUGUGCCGAGCUCCCUGCCAGGGCCCAGGCCUCCUUGGUGCUGCUGGCCCAGCCUCACAGGCUGCUCUGCCCAUCCCCACUCCCCUGAGGCCUGCUGUCCUGCUGUUAGCUCUCGCUAGCAGUAAUCCCCUGGCAGGUUCCCCCUCGC